rnacentral:lncRNA from 1 species
CGACAGAAGAUGGCGGAUGAGCAGCGUGCAGGGUUUUCUCCCUGUGGCUCACUCUCUCUUACUGUGCUGGGCGGUUGCUUCCUCUCCUGCUGCCCUUGGGAGUCAGACUCCAGGUUCUUCAGCCUGUGGCCCCUGGGGCUCUCGGGCCUUGGAGGACUGACUAGGAGCACACGGUGGGCCUCUCUGGUUUGGGGGCCUGGGACGUGGCGGAGCCCUGCAGCUUCUGUGCGGCCUGUUCUGGGCGUCGCGUUGAAACGCCAGCCAGUUCCCCAAGUAAGCUCCCUGCACACACGCCUGAUAGCCUGUUGGUUCCGUCCUUCUGCGGGAUUUUCACUACCACUCUCUAACUCACACACAGCAGAAAGAGCAUACGGGAGAGAUGAAGCAGUCCACUCCAAGAACAUUCUCAUCCUACGGAUUACGACUACCAGGAAUAAUUGUCAUGUGGAGAGCCAGAGGGGCACAAAUAUGAAGAAACACAGAUUCUGCCCUUCGUUUCUCAGAGGGAGACACACGCAAAACUCAUAACGUGGCUGACAUGGCCAGAGCCAUGGGGAGGGGGAGGCUGAGGUGCAGUGCAGCAUGAGAGGAUUGGACCCCCAGCAAGGAUGGACGUAGAACUACUCUAGGAAAUUCCUCAAACACUGCCAAGUACUUCAUGGCUGAAAGCCAAAUAUUCAGUCCCCCUGGGAUUACAGGAGUGUUGAAGAAAUGUUGUGACACAUCAGAACACCGCGAAAUACAUGGACACUUUCAAAUCAUGGAAGACUCAAGAGUCCUUGUUUUUGCCCAGUAUUAAAGAUAAAGAUAGACAUGUUUUUUUUUUUCUGGCUUUGGCUCUGGUCGGUACAGUGAAUUGCUGCUCAAAAUGAACGCUAUUAGGCUGCUUUCUUUUUUAGCCCACCAGGUAUUUUUGAAAAAAGUACUCUGUGAAAAACAGAAACUGCAAGCAAGACAGAUACCAGGAUUAGGGAUCACGGUGACUUCUACCAUCGCUGGAUACUCCCAAAAGGGUUCUCGAGACAGCAGCUGUGUCUGCCCUGCUUUGGCAUUCUUUCCCAGGCAUGGCGACGAAGAAACUUUAAUUAGAAGGAAACAGGAAUAUUCAACGGACUCCCAAGACAAGAAUAUAGAUGUAUAUCAGAAGCUGAGCAUUGAAGUUGCUACUAGAGUCUCCCCGAGCCCUUAUUGGAUUCUCACUUCAGGAGCUGCUUUCAUUAUUUUGCCUCUCAGUUUCAAAAUAGACAAAGAACUCAACACUCAACAAUAAGAAAAUGAACAACUUGGUUGAAAAAUGGGCCAAAGACCUUAACAGACACCUCACCAAAGAUGAUAGACAGGUAGGAAAUAAACAUAUAAAAAGAUGCUGCACGUCAGAUGUCAUCAGAAAAGUGCAAUUAAAACAACAAUGAGACACCACUAUGCAUCUCCUAGAAUGACCAAAACCCAGAACACUGACACCAAAUACUCUUGAGGAUGUGGAGCAAUUCUCAUUGCUGAUGGGAAUGCAAAAUGGUACAGUCUUUUGGAAGACAGCUUGGAGGUUUCUUAUAAAGCUAAACUUGGAUUUACCAUACCAUCUACCAGCAGUGCUCCUUGGUAUUUACCCAGUGGAGCUGAAAAUGUAUGUCCCCACAGAAAAACAGGCACGUGGACGCUUACAGAAGUUUUACACAUAAUUUCCAAGACUUGGAAGCAACCAAGAUGUCCUUCAGUCGGUGAAUGGAAGAAUAAACUGUGGAACAAUCAGACCAUGGAAUAUUAUUCAGUGCUGAAUAGAAAUGAGCUAAGAAAGCCAUAAAAAAACAUGGAGGAAAGAAUGUUCAACACCAAGACUGAACCCUAAUGUAACCUGUGGACUUUGGAUGAUAAUGACGCAUCAAUGCAAGUCAUAAAUUUGGAAAAAUGUACCUCUCCUGGGAAGGAGUUGAUAAUGGGGUCAGGAGGGCAUCUUUCUCGGCUCUUCACUGUGAGAACCUUGUGGGAUUCCUGAAGAUGAAACCAUGAACGCGAGGGAGUCUUGCUAAAACUGCAGCAUUCGAGAGGUUUUCACUCAUGCUGGCUCACACUUGUCCUCUAGCAAUUCAUCAAAAUUACCAGGACAAAGAAGACAGAAAAUACUACACACUACCCAGAGAUUGAAACUGAAGGUGUGAACAACAGAGAAAAGAGAGGGCAAAGAAAAGGAAAACAAAGAAGACGUGGGAUAUGAAAGGUGUAUGCCAUGUGUGGACAUCAAGAAAUGUUUCAGCUCGCACUUCUGCCACCAAUUGAGCCUGGAACCUCACUACUUGGAGUUGGGGGGAGGGCAGUGCUCAUUCAUCACCUGUGAAAAUAGGGAUUGAGAGUUCCCUAACUUUGCCAUUUUUCCUCAAGCACUGGCAUUGGUCUUCUGAAUGUCAGGCUCUGUAUAAGUGAGUCCUCAGCUGAGCCACAGGCUCUGCAUUCCUGGCAGUCCACACACUUCAUAUCCUUUGUUUAUGCUGCUCAUUUUGGAAUUCAAACAGGUUGGUGGGGCACAUUUCAACAGAUAAUGACACACACUGACUGCUCAUGAGCUAUUUUAUGGUGUGAGAAUGUUGUGAUGUUAUGAAAUGCGGAGGCAUUAAAACAUGGGGACAUUUUCUAGAAGAUCCUUAGCAGAGAGUACAGAAGACUAAGGUCCAAAUCUCUGAAAUGAUGUUUUCCAAAUUAUUGCACAGCUAUGUCAAAGUACCUUGAUCCAGUUAAUGUUAACAAAUAAAAAAUUAUGAAAUGUUAUUUUCUAGGUAUGGAUAGUAGUGGAUAGUAGUAGAUCUGUUGUGUAGUGGAGAUUACUUAGGAAGAAUAAAUUUCAACUUUACCAAGAAAGUACUACAUUAAUUGCAUUAGGGAAUUGUGAAUUGCAUUAGGAAAAUGCUCAUUCUUCUUUCAAUAGCCAAUAUCUGGAUACUAUACUCUCUUGAAUUUCUAAGAUUUGCAUCCAAUAUUCUAUAAUUAGCUUUCCAGUUUAUUGAAUGAUUUAAUUUACAUACAAAUAUUUUCUAAUAUAUUCCCUGUAAAAUAGUUUAAAAAAUUAAACGUUUCUCUAAUUACACAUUCCUCCCUAGCUGAUACAAUUUCAUUUAUUUGCUUACUUUCCCAGCUGGACAUUCAGAAAUUUUUUACUCAUAUUGUCUUCAAUUGCAUAUUUGCCAGUUUCUAGCUUUUAUUUUAUUUUUUAUAUCCAUUUUGUUCUAGGUGUGGAAAUUGCUAAGUGUAGAGCUUAAUAAUAUUUCACCAGAAAGAUAUGUGUCUAACUCCCUCAUGAAGAAAUAGUAUGUUACCAACACUCCCAAAUUUCCUUUGAUGUCAAAAAGCAUUAUUUUUCUCGAGUCUUUUUUUGUGUUGGUAUGAUAUAUAAACGAAAUCAUAUACACAUUUAUUUUUUCAUUUAGAUACUUUCCUUCAGUAUUAUGAUUGAGACAUUAACCUCAGUUUAAGUAUUUAUGUCAUUUUCAUUGCUAGUUCAUUGUAAGAAGCACACCUUUUAUUUAUCUAUUCCCUUAAUACAUAUUCCUGUUUCCAGUGUUAGAUUAAUGCAAAUAAGGCUAUCGUGAGCAUUCUUUUACAUGUUUUUCAGUGUACAAAUAUAUGCUGAGAGAGGAAUUACUGAAUCACAGAAAGCAGUAUAUGCAGCUAUAAUAGAUAUUACCAUAUCCACCAAACGUUUAGCAUUUCCUGUUUCAUUUUAUUCACUCUGGGGGAUGUAUAGAGAUUUCACAUUACAUUAUAAUUUAAUUUCUCUAAUGUCUAAUGAUGGGGAGCACCUUUUUCAUGUUUUUAUUGUCAAUUUGGCUAUCUUCUUUUUCUAAAUGCAUGUUCAAGUAUUUCAUCCAUUUUUAUUGGUCUUCUUUUUUUACUGGUUUAAUUGAAUUCUUUACAUAUUAUGGAUAUGAGCUCUUUGUCAAUUUUAUAUGUAUGCUUAUAUUCACUCCUACUUCACUCUGCAGCUUGCUUUUUAUUUUUAUGCUUUUAAUAAUGAACAUAAUUUCUUUAUUUUAAUAAAUAUCAUUAUUUU